rnacentral:lncRNA from 1 species
CAGGGCAAGCCCUCCAAGCCUGGAAGCACACCAAUCGUGAGCCUGUGCGUAAGCCUGUGCGUACCCCUAGACACUCCCCUUACGCUGCCCUAUAAGAUCUUUUGGGAGCCCGUAGAAGCCGUCUUUUCUAGCUGUCUGCCAUGGCGGGUGGGUGAAAGACCCGAGCUAACAUGGGGUUAGUUCGUUAAAUUACAAUAAAGCCUCGUGCAGUUUGCAGCAAGCUCUCGAAUCUGCCUGGUGAUUGGGGUGACCGCGAACGUGGCCUGGGACCCCGAAUACUUGAGUUUUCGGGGGUCUAACAGGCUUUGAACUUCUGAUCCUUUUGCCUGUACCUUCGGAGUACUGGGGAUAGCCUACAUGUGCUGCCACACUGGACUUACUAGCUCAGGAUCCAAACCAGAGCUUUGUACAAGCUAGGGAAGUAUUCUACUGACUGGGCUACAGCUUCUACCCCAGAACAGACUUCAAAUAUACCACCAAUUGUGAUAUGCUUCAGAAUAGCAAAAAAUGAAACAAUUCUUAAAAACGUCAAGAAAAGUCUGUUAAUCAAAAAGGAGUGUGUAUCAGACCGGUAAUGAGACUCUCCAGAAAUGCAAAAUGUUAAAAGGUAAGUAUAAACCAAGAACUGUAUUUCCAGCCAAGCGACCUUUCCAUUGUAAGUCUACAGAUACCCAAGAGCCACUACGAGCCACUGCCCAAAUGCUUUCCAGGAUGGGUCUAGUAACUUCCACCUCAGCACGCUCACUAACAGCCUAUCAUCUCAGCAAAGGGCCGGUGCAGACAGGACGGUUGUUCUGAAGGAACCGGCUUCCCUUUUGGCAGCCAUAAUGGUCGAACAUGUGCUUCUAUGACCUUGACCUAGUCACUAAAGUCAGAUGCCUGUCUCGUGACAAGGAGCCAAUCAGAGGUUAGCUGGUGGCGCUAUGCUUUACGACCCUGGGUGUGCUUUACAGACAAGCGCACAGCAAUGACGUAGAGAGCAUACGCAACCACCCUGGGAGGGCUAUGAGCCAUAACAACCAGUUGACCAAUCAACACAGGGCAAGCCCUCCAAGCCUGGAAGCACACCAAUCGUGAGCCUGUGCGUAAGCCUGUGCGUACCCGUAGACACUCCCCUUAUGCUGCCCUAUAAGAUCUUUUGGGAGACCCAAGGAGCCCCUCUUUUCUAGCUGUCCGCCAUGUCGGGUGUGUGAAAGACCCGAGCUAACAUGGGGUUAGCUCGUUAAAUUACAAUAAAGCCUCGUGCAGUUUGCAGCAAGCUCUCGAAUCUGCCUGGUGAUUGGGGUGACCGCGAACGUGGCCUGGGACUCCAAAUACUCGAGUUUUCGGGGGUCUAACAGUUCAAGGUCAAUCUUCCAGUCAGCAGACAACAACAAACUAAAGAAUAAGAUCUCACCAGUGUAGCUUGAAAACUACUGGUUUACAAAAGAAAAAAAAUAAUUAAGUGAAAAACUUUGCAAAACAGAAACGUUAAGGGAAAAAAAAAAAAAUUGAAACCACAACUUUAUCUUCCGGAGACAGGACUAAUGUUUCAUUGUCAGGGGAAUUUUUGUUGGUUCUGUUUUUCAAGACCAGUCUAGCCUCGAACUCAUACAUCCUCCUGCCUCUGCCUCCUGAGGGAUGGAAUUAAAGGCGUGCACCACCACUUGGCUUACAGUGCAAUUGUAAAUUUGGUUCUUUUCCAGUCUCGUGCUUUAAUCUUGCAGAAAACACAACCCCUUUGAUGUAGAUCUAAAUUUCCUUUUUACUUGGAAAAAAACUAAACUACAAAAGGCUAAGAUAUCACUAUCUCCUUGGUUCCUUGCUAGGCAUGACAUUUACAGUGUAAGUCAGGGGUGGGGCACGUCUUAAAUUACUCCAUGCGUUCCCAUUUAACCCACACAAUAAUAAUGGGAAAAUAGCCUCUGAUGUUUCUUAGAAAGCGUGUCAUACCGCAUGUGGCCGCCCAGUUGGAAGAUCUCAUGCUCUGGUUACCCCAAUCUAAGUUUAAAUGUAAAUUAACCUCCCCACCUUGGUCCUCUUCAUUCAUACACAGAGAACCACCCUAAGUUUCUACAGCCAAAGAGCUGUCCAUCGCAGGCUUUGUGUCCCGACUUGACUGACCAUGGACUGUGGGCAGGGAGUUAGUCGCUCCUGAGAUACGAACCAACUUGGGUCGGUGAGUAAUUCCAUCUACUCUGGGCGUGUGACAUCUUCUUACCUGCGGGAUGGACCAGCGUUCAAUCCGUGGAGUUACUGUACCCUGCUGCCCACAGCCCGUUACAGACCCUCAAUCACCAGCCUCAAAGGAGAGCGCCCCAAGACACAGGGAGAAACACCGCCGACAGCCCGGGACUGCGAGCCGCCCACUCGCCCGCCCGCCGGCCGGCACGCGCGGGUUGGAGCCCGGCCAACCCGCAGCGCGCCCUACACACCCCACAGGCGAGCCAGCCUCCCGCCGAGAGACGCCCUCACCUCAGCCCUGGAGACUCGCGCCCUCAGCCAGCCGGCUCGGCCGCUACCACACGCCCGCCUUCCCCGGCCGGGCCAGAUGCUCAUUGGCUACAGCCCCUGCCGCUCAGCGCCUCGGACGCUCCCGCGCGUCCCGAGGCCUCCGGGUGCUGGUCGGAGAGCGCCGCCACCUGAUUGGCCAGCGCCGGCCCUCGGCGGGUCUCGCGCUAUCUGCUGUGGCCAAUGGGACUCCCCGCAGUCUAGAGAGCCGCGUCGCUGGAGCGGUGGCGCAGCUUUUGGCUCGGUCUGGCUGUUCCCCACUGCUCCUCAGUGAUUUGGGGCAGGAAAAGAUUUGGAAAGACAGAAACCAAAGAAGAUGGGAGACUGCCACCAGCAAAGACCAUUUAGAGAAGAAUUUGGGUGCAAAGAGCUUUUCUAGAGAGGUAAGGGAGAAGCAAGGGGUGAUAAGUCUUCAUGCUGAAUGGGGUCUCCAUCACCCAGAGCCUUGUUUUGUUUUUCUCUACUGGAUUAGUUUUGAGGUACCAAUCAGCUUUUGUUCCUAGGCCAGUCCAUGUAGUUUUCUUUAGGUAAAAACACGUGAUUUCUGAGCCAGUUAAAGAUGAUUUCUUUUCAGUUAGAGAAUAAGAUAGCAAAUCAUUCAUCUAUUGUUUGAUCCCAUCCAAAGACAGAUCCUUGAGUUCUGUAAAUCUAGAGAAAAGUAAGUUGUAAGAUGCUGGCCUUGGGACCUGAGUGGAUUAAGGUGCCUGUUACCAAGCACCUGAGAACCUGAGUUUAGUUCCAGGACCCACAUGGUAAAAGGAGAGAACCAGUUCCCACACGUUGCCUUCUGACUUCCACGUCCAUGAGCAAGCACAGUAAUUUUUUUUUAAGGACCUUAGUUGUAAAAAGAAAAAUGUCAAAUACCAUUUGGAGUUCUCAAAAAAAGAUGUAUGUCUGCAGAUACUUAUGUAUGUCUGCAGUGCCUUUGCCCAGGAAUAGCUAACCUUGCAGUUAAUCACUAAACUACUAGCAGCAAGCCAGGGGUGUUUGCUCAUGCUGUGAUCCUGGGCUGAGGCAUGAGGAUCAUGAGGUCCAGACCAACCUAGGACAUAGAAGACUUAGAACAUUAAUACAAAGCCAGAAAGCAAAACAUAACCAUUUGAGCCUAUUAGGUAGCUUAGCUAGUGGGAGACUGAUCAAACAGAAUCUUGCUGUGUAGCCUAGGUUGGCAGCUUCCUGAGUCCUGGCACUGUCAAUGUGUAUUGCCACCAGUGAUUAUUUGCUUGUUUUGUUCUUAAGAGUGGGUCUUACUGUAGUCUAGGCUAGGUUGGGACUUGAGAGUGUGUCUGCCUGAAACAUGCUAGGAUUAGGGCCUAAACCAAUAAAUCUGACCAGAAUUAGUGGGGCUUUUGCUUUGUUUAAAAGUCAACUAAAACAAGUGAAGCUAGAGAGCUUAUAUACCCUUGGGUUAUAGUGCCAGUCUCAGCCUCUUAGAAGUAUAGACAGGGUUCAUUCAAUUACUAUAAGCCAAUGGGGAUUCCUUGAGAGGAAAUACCUCUUACUAAGAUAAUGAUGAUUAUCAGCUCAUUUAAAGUAUAUCUCAAAUAAAAGUAUAUCUCCAUUGGUGGAGAGGUAUGAUGAAGACUUUUUAAGGCUUUACAGUUAGUUGUCCAAACUAAGACCUAGGAUAGCUAUUGUUUGUAACUUGGUUGCACAGUAUCUUACAGUGGCCUUAGUGGAGUUUGUAGUUGACAAUGGUAUUGCAGUGUCAAAAUGUUGGAUACACUGAUGCCAGAAGUCUGUAUUUUCUUCUUCUUCUUCUUCUUCUUCUUCUUCUUCUUCUUCUUCUUCUUCUUCUUCUUCUUCUUCUUCUUCUUCUUCUUUUUUAUACAUAUGUGGAAAGUGUAUUGGGAGAUGGGGGAGGGGGAGACAGAGACAGUAACCUGCCUCCACAGAGAAAUGGCAGAGAAAGAGAAAGUCUGUAUUUUCAUAGUCUGUUUCUUUCCUGCAAGUAAAUAACAAUGGCAACACCAGAUAGAAAAGAACACAGAAGAACAAGGAAAAACAGCUUUUUUUUUUUUUUAAAGAAAUCAAUAACAAGAACUUGGAAAAAAUGAAGGGCAUAUGGAAUCAGUGAAGUUUCUUUUUUUAAUUUCCAAGAUAAAUACCUCUGGGAUACAAGAAGGAGAAUCCUGAGGAAAUUAAAUCAAAGCCUUAUGCUCUCCUAUAACUUCAUCCUUUUGAAAAAUUGGAACUACCAGAAUAGUUUCUACAUUGUGACAUGACCAUUGUGAUGGGUUGAGUUUCCACUUUUUGAAAGCUAAUGAAAAAAGUGUGCAUAAUUGGAGAAACAACCUGUGAGAAGGAAAAAAAUUUGCACAGCAAGGACAAGAUUGCUGUUGCUAAUCUAUAGUACAAACAGUAUGGCCUUCGGCUUCUGGGUGAACUGCAUCUGCACACUACUGCAGCCAUCAGCUCCUGGGUGAAAUGCAUCUGCACACUACUGCAGCCAUCAGUUCCUAGAUGAAAUGCAUCUGCACUUUACUGCAUUUAUCAGCUCCUGGGUGAAAUGCAUCUGCACUUUACUGCAGCCAUCAGCUCCUGGGUGAAAUGCAUCUGCACAUUACUGCAGCCAUCAGCUCCUGGGUGAAAUGCAUCUGUACUUUACUGCAGCUAUCAGCUCCUGGGUGAAAUGCAUCUGUACUUUACUGCAGCCAUCAGCUCCUGGGUGAAAUGCAUUUGCACUUUACUGCAGCCAUCAGCUCCUAGAUGAAAUGCAUCUGCACACUACUGCAGCCAUCACUUGGCACUGUCAGUGUUUGGUUUUUUGUUUUUUUAUUUCUGCUGUUACAGGAGAGAUAGAGUGGCAUCUUACAGUGGACUUAAUCUACAUUUCUCUUCCAAUGAUGAUUCUUUUCUCUAAUGAAGAAAUGAGAACCUGUAUUUGCUUCUCUAUAGAUACUUACAACAAUUUUGUUUGUCACCACCACCAAAACUGGAAUCAACUCAGGUCAAUUGGACAAUACAGUUUCAAAAGCUCCAACUUAUGAACAAAACUAACUUGGGACCUCUGUUUUAAUCCAGAAAAAUAUGUAAAUAUAUAAAAAUUAUCACAUAAGAAUAAAAAUUCAUACAUUAGAUUACAUUGUGAAAAGAUGCUUUAGAAAUGUGGCCACAAAGAAGAUUAAAAUGGUAAUCUUAAGUAUUUUAGCUCAGAGAAAUUGUAGUAAAGGUGAAAUCUUUUUUGUUGUUGUGCUCUGAUUUGUAUGUUUUGUAGCUGAGGCUGGCUGGAUGUGAUUCUCCUGGCUAUCUCCAUAAUGCUAGAACUACACGUGUGAGCUACUAUGUCUCGUUUAAGUUUAAAUCUUUUAAAGAAACAGUAAAGCAGAAAAAAGGGGAUCUCAGAAGUAAUAUAGCUACACCUUACCAGAAUAACAAGUGAGGGCUGAUGGAACUCAUGGAGUGUUUGAGAAAAGGAGGCAUUUUUAGUGACAAAUUAGAAAAUGGAAAAUACGAACCACAGAUGGCACAAUAAGAGAAAAAGGAGAAAUAAGAACUCAAUAUCUUUUUAAAAGCUUGCGGCAUGGUAGUGCAGACCUUUAAUCCCAAAGCCUGGAGGCAGAGGCAGGCGGAUCUCUCUGUGAGUUCCAAACAAGUCAGGGACAUAUUCUUAAAAAAAAAAAAAAGACAGGAGAGGCAGCCAAAUAGUUUUUCUCAUGUGAACUGAAGUUCAAUGGUGGUUGUAUAACAUUGUACUUAAUGCCAGUAGAUUGAAAGCUUAAAAAUGGCCUAAAUGGUAAACUUUGUGCUCAUUUUGUCAUAAUAAACCCUGUAAAGUAAAGCAUUGAACUACAACAACUGUCAAGCUACAGUUCCUGAACACUCAACACUAAAGAAGGAUAAAGGCUGGCUCUGCUGAAAGGCACCCCAAGAUCUGGAACUCAGCCCAGAGCACUUAAUACUGAGAUGUAGUAUUGUAAAAAUGGUUGGAUUUUAAAAUCAUGGAAAAAAAAAAAAAGCUCAAGUGGAUUGGAAAAAUAGCACAUGGAUUUGAUGUUUUGGGCAGCUACAUUUCAUUCUAGAUAAUAAAGCAACAGUUUAAAAAACUAUUAAAUGAAAUGCAAUUAUUCAUAUCACCAGACUGUCCUUUAAGAACUUGAGGACAUUGCUAUGUAUGGUGGCAUGCCUAUAAUCUUAGCACUUAGGAGCCUGAGGUAGAUGGAUCAGAGUUCAAGGUCAUCCUCUAUUAAAUAGUAAGUUCCUGGUCAACGUGGUCUACCAAAAGGUUCAGUCACAAAACAAUUUAAGGAUUAUUGUUUCAGUGCUUCCUGAAGGAAUAUACUAGUGAAAAAAUUUCAAACAGUAAAUGAUUCAGGAAAUGUUCAACAUAAAAUCAAGUUGUAAACAUUAAAUAUAUUGUAAUGAUGGGAAUAAUGGUUUUAGAGUUAUGCUAUCUGACAAUGUAGAAAAAAUAUGACCCACUGUCAGGAAGUCUGUUUUAGAGGAAAUAAAGGUACUGCCCCCGAGUUGAAUAUGAGUAGCCAUGUCUGAUGGUUAUGUUCUUUUGUUGAAGAAAUUACAAGAGUUUAAUAGUCACAGAAAGUCAUAAAUCAAUUUAAAUUGUUUUAUUCUUUGUUAAUUUCAUACACAAAUCACAAAUAUGUAUGUAACGUUGUUAGAUCAUAUCCAUCCCCACUACCUCCUCCAUCCCAUCCCAGAUCACAUCCCCCUUUCAACUUUGUGGGUCUUUUUAUUUUCUCUUUUCCCCACUAAGUCCUUUUAGUUCUGACAAUAUGUGUAUAGGGAUUGGUUACCAUCCACUGGCAUAUAGACAACUUGUCCUGAGCCAUACCAGUGAAGAAGAUGUACUUUUCCUCUCCCAGCAGCUACCUACUGUCUGUAGCAACUAGGCUAGGGGUGGGACCUCAUGAACCUCUCUCCUUUCCAUGCUGGAGUGUUGAUGGGUGUGAACUUGUGCAUAUUUUGUGCUCACAACCACAGCUGCUAUGAGUUCAUAAGGGCAGUGGCGUUCAUUUUAUAGCAGUCCCCCAGACCUCUGCUCUUAAAAUCUUUUUGAUUCCUUUUCUGCAGUGUUCCCUGAGUCUUGAGAGAUGGUGGUAAGGGGUGUGGUGUAGAAGUCCCAUUUAGGCCUGAGCACUCCACAGUCACUUAAUCUCUGCACUUGACCAGUUGUAAGUCUUGGUAUCAAUUUCCAUCCACUACAUAAGGUGUGAGAGUUGCACUGGUCUAUGAGUAUAAGGAUAAGUAUGUAGAAGGCAGUUUGACGCCAUGUUCCUUUAGCAAAAAAAAUAAUGGUAGGGUUUAUGACCUCCCUAGCCAUGGGUUCUUGCCUAGUUUUAAAAUACCGGACAUGACUUUUCUGCUGUGAAGUGGGCCUUAAGUCCAAGUAGAAAGUUGUUGGUUAACCUUCAUUAUUUGUGCCAGUAUUGCACCAAUGGACACACCUUCCAGGCCA